rnacentral:tRNA from 1 species
GUAUAGCUCAAGUGGUAGAGCGCAUGCCUAGCAUGCACAAGGUCCUGGGUUCAAUCCCCAGUAC